rnacentral:rRNA from 1 species
AACGAACGCUGGCGGCAUGCCUAACACAUGCAAGUCGAACGAGGCCUUCGGGUCUAGUGGCGCACGGGCGCGUAACGCGUGGGAACCUGCCCCUAGGUUCGGAAUAACUCCCCGAAAGGGGUGCUAAUACCGGAUAAUGUCUUCGGACCAAAGAUUUAUCGCCUUUGGAUGGGCCCGCGUUGGAUUAGCUAGUUGGUAGGGUAAAAGCCUACCAAGGCGACGAUCCAUAGCUGGUCUGAGAGGAUGAUCAGCCACACUGGGACUGAGACACGGCCCAGACUCCUACGGGAGGCAGCAGUGGGGAAUAUUGGACAAUGGGCGAAAGCCUGAUCCAGCAAUGCCGCGUGAGUGAUGAAGGCCUUAGGGUUGUAAAGCUCUUUUACCCGGGAUGAUAAUGGCAGUACCGGGAGAAUAAGCUCCGGCUAACUCCGUG